CCACUACUUAAAUGUGGAUGUACUUGCUUUGAAACUAAAAAAGUAAGUGCUUCCAUGUUUUGGUGAUGG
ensembl:miRNA MIR302A microRNA 302a